rnacentral:rRNA from 1 species
CCUGGGGCUGUAGUCGGUCCCAAGGGUUGGGCUGUUCGCCCAUUAAAGCGGCACGCGAGCUGGGGUAAGAACGUGGUGGGACAGGUCGGGCCCAAGCCGUCGCGGGCGUUGGAGAUUUGAGAGGAGAUAUCUUUAGUACGAGAGGACCGGGAUGGACUUACCGCUGGUGUACCAGUUGUUCUGCCAAGGGCAUUGCUGGGUAGCUAUGUAGGGAAGGGAUAAACGCUGAAAGCAUCUAAGUGUGAAGCCCACCUCAAGAUGAGAUUUCCCAUUUCUUUAAGAAAGUAAGAUCCCUGAGAGAUGAUCAGGUAGAUAGGUCAGGAGUGGAAGUACAGUGAUGUAUGGAGCGGACUGAUACUAAUCGAUCGAGGACUUAACCAAU